rnacentral:rRNA from 1 species
CCUACGGGUGGCAGCAGUGGGGAAUAUUGGACAAUGGGGGCAACCCUGAUCCAGCCAUGCCGCGUGUGUGAAGAAGGCCCUCGGGUUGUAAAGCACUUUCAGUGAGGAAGAACGCCUGGUGGUUAAUACCCAUCAGGAAAGACAUCACUCACAGAAGAAGCACCGGCUAACUCCGUGCCAGCAGCCGCGGUAAUACGGAGGGUGCGAGCGUUAAUCGGAAUUACUGGGCGUAAAGCGCGCGUAGGUGGCUUGAUAAGCCGGUUGUGAAAGCCCCGGGCUCAACCUGGGAACGGCACCCGGAACUGUCAAGCUAGAGUGCAGGAGAGGAAGGUAGAAUUCCCGGUGUAGCGGUGAAAUGCGUAGAGAUCGGGAGGAAUACCAGUGGCGAAGGCGGCCUUCUGGACUGACACUGACACUGAGGUGCGAAAGCGUGGGUAGCAAACAGGAUUAGAUACCCUGGUAGUC